rfam:Salmo salar isolate Sally breed double haploid chromosome ssa16, whole genome shotgun sequence.
AAUGCACCAAUUUGUAAGUCGCUCUGGAUAGGAGCGUCUGCUAAAUUACGUAAA